rnacentral:rRNA from 1 species
AGAGUUUGAUCCUGGCUCAGGAUGAACGCUGGCGGCGUGCUUAACACAUGCAAGUCGAACGAAGCACUUUAUUUGAUUUCCUUCGGGACUGAUUAUUUUGUGACUGAGUGGCGGACGGGUGAGUAACGCGUGGGUAACCUGCCUUAUACAGGGGGAUAACAGUUGGAAACGGCUGCUAAUACCGCAUAAGCGCACGGCAUCGCAUGAUGCAGUGUGAAAAACUCCGGUGGUAUAAGAUGGACCCGCGUUGGAUUAGCUAGUUGGUGAGGUAACGGCCCACCAAGGCGACGAUCCAUAGCCGACCUGAGAGGGUGACCGGCCACAUUGGGACUGAGACACGGCCCAAACUCCUACGGGAGGCAGCAGUGGGGAAUAUUGCACAAUGGGCGAAAGCCUGAUGCAGCGACGCCGCGUGAGCGAAGAAGUAUUUCGGUAUGUAAAGCUCUAUCAGCAGGGAAGAUAAUGACGGUACCUGACUAAGAAGCACCGGCUAAAUACGUGCCAGCAGCCGCGGUAAUACGUAUGGUGCAAGCGUUAUCCGGAUUUACUGGGUGUAAAGGGAGCGCAGGCGGUGCGGCAAGUCUGAUGUGAAAGCCCGGGGCUCAACCCCGGUACUGCAUUGGAAACUGUCGUACUAGAGUGUCGGAGGGGUAAGCGGAAUUCCUAGUGUAGCGGUGAAAUGCGUAGAUAUUAGGAGGAACACCAGUGGCGAAGGCGGCUUACUGGACGAUAACUGACGCUGAGGCUCGAAAGCGUGGGGAGCAAACAGGAUUAGAUACCCUGGUAGUCCACGCCGUAAACGAUGAAAACUAGGUGUUGGGAAGCAUUGCUUCUCGGUGCCGU